rnacentral:rRNA from 1 species
AAAGAAAAUAACAAUGAUUCCCUUAGUAACUGCGAGUGAAGAGGGACAAGCUCAAAUUUUAAAUCUGUUAGGUUCACCUAACCGAGUUGUAAUUUGAAGAGGCGUUUUCUGCGUUUUUGAUCAGUCCAAGUCCUUUGGGAUAAGGCAUCAUGGAGGGUGAGAAUCCCGUUCGGUUGAUCAGAUUCGCUUUACGAUACGUCAUCUAAGAGUCAAGUUGUUUGGGAUUGCAGCUUAAAAUGGGAGGUAAAUUUCUCCUAAGGCUAAAUAACGGCGAGAGACCGAUAGCGAACAAGUACCGUGAGGGAAAGAUGAAAAGAACUUUGAAAAGAGAGUUAAACAGUACGUGAAAUUGUUGAAAGGGAAACGAUUGAAGCCAGUCGUACCUUCGGGUAAUCAGCCUUUCGAGUGCGAUUCUGUGGAGUGUGAGGAGUUAAACGCCUUCAUGCCUGCAUAUUCGUGCACUUUGGGUGUACUUGCCCGUGUGGUAGGUUAACAUCAAUUUCGGAUGUCAUAAAAUGGCUGGAGGAAUGUAGCUUCGGUCUCGUAUUGAAGUGUUAUAGCCUCUGGUAGAUGUGAUGACCGGGAUUGAGGAUUGCAACGAAUACCUUUUGGGCUAUCCGCCUGAUCUCUGAAAGUUGCUCUGGUGCCGAAAGCGUGCUUACGGUUAUCAAAGUUGACGUUCAAAAGGUUAGAACGGGUUAAAUUCGUUAAGGAUGUUG